ACCAGUGCCCACUGAGGAGGAUUGAAAGUGACGGUUUUACAGCAGCACUAAUCAUUGCUAGUUGAAAACUUUUACCAGUACCCCGCCUAGUGGACGUGAAAUACCGUCCGCUACGGCAAUUUUUGCACACUCCUCCGGGAG